rnacentral:rRNA from 1 species
ACGGAGGGGGUUAGCGUUGUUCGGAAUUACUGGGCGUAAAGCGCACGUAGGCGGAUCAGAAAGUUGGGGGUGAAAUCCCGGGGCUCACCGGACCCGAGCUCCAACAACUCGUGCUUGAGUUCGAGAGAGGUGAGUGGAAUUCCGAGUGUAGAGUGAAAUUCGUAGAUAUUCGGAGGAACACCAGUGGCGAAGGCGGCUCACUGGCUCGAUACUGACGCUGAGGUGCGAAAGUGUGGGGAGCAAACAGGAUUAGAUACCCCGUAGUC